ensembl:lncRNA
UUUGCAUUCGUAAGUUCAUAACUGAAACCAAAAGUCUCAUAUGGGUUAUCAGCUUUCAACGCACCACACUGACUUUUAGAGGCUGAAUCAGGUUGAGAGCAGACUUGAGUGAAACCAUGCAGAGAGUGACUCUGACGAUCAUUCUCCUUUUACUCUGUGCUGGGCUUCCAGGUGACUGUGGAGUAAUAGAGUUUCCCGUACUCCAUUCUGAUAUAACCGGCUGCAUGAAAAUGACAUGUGCCAGGAGUAUCAAUGCCUGUGUGGACACACAUGGACAGGCCCCCACAGAACAGCUCAAAGGUUGUGUUGUCCACAAAUGUAGGAAAAUCACCAACCGCUGUGUAGAUCAGUUCUUCCAACAGUACCUACCCCUGUUAUUGGCACAAAAUCCAAAAGUUGCCUCAAUUGUCGAACCAAAUGCCGAGCUUUUCAUGGCUGAAAUGACAGAUGCUUAUCUUGAAUGCUGGCUCAGGACGACAGACUCCGAAGUCGGAGGUUGUUAUAUGGGCAGACUCAUUGAUAAGGCACAGCCGUUCAUUACCCCGUUGUUUGCAUUGACCUUUGAUGAUCCAGUUGCUGUGAGCUGUUGGCUCUCCCAUGCUUUGAAAGGAAUGGUAAGCUGCUAUGAUCAGCUAGAUGAAAACUACAUCAAGGAACUGAAAAAAAGGGCAGAGAGAGAGAUGAAAGACAAUAUGUUACGUUACAUGACGUGCAUGAGCAAACCUAUGACAAACUGGAACUGGUGUAAAGGACUCUUUGAUGAUCUUCUUGCUUCAUCACCAAAGAGGAAACGACAGUACAAAGACUUCCUCAUCUGUUCAAUCCACGGUGGGAUUACUGCAACAGCGAAAUGCUAAAACUUGUUUUACGAGGGGACGGUUAUGCAUUUGCAGGUUUCCAAAGCAACAGGUGACCAGUAGAAACACGACAAAAAACAACAAAAAAAAAGAAUAACAUAUUUUGAAUGAAUCAUCCACAAACACAAGAGUUUGUGUUUAUAAUUUAUGAAAAUCAUUAUUUAGUUUUAUCUUUAACAUUUUGAAACUAUUAUAUGUAAAGCACUAAUACUGUCUUUUAUUACAUAGACAAUGAAUAAACAUAUCAAUCGCAAUUAAAUGUUCAACUUUGGAUACAAAACACACAUGGGAUUGUUUUUCAAAUCCACAACAAUGACUUCACAGUGUUUGCAACCCACUGUAUUUAACGUGUCCACAGUAUUUUAGUGUCCACAUUAUUAUACAGUGUCCACAGUAUUAGUGUCCACAGUAU